GAAUGCGGAGCCGCAGCGAAAGCGAGUCUGAAUAGGGCGAAUGAGUAUGGGGUCGUAGACCCGAAACCAGGUGAUCUACCCAUGUCCAGGGUGAAGGUAAGGUAACACUUACUGGAGGCCCGAACCCACGUACGUUGAAAAGUGCGGGGAUGAGGUGUGGGUAGCGGUGAAAUUCCAAUCGAACCUGGAGAUAGCUGGUUCUCUCCGAAAUAGCUUUAGGGCUAGCCUCAAACGAAAGAAUCUCGGAGGUAGAGCACUGUUUGGACUAGGGGCCCAUCCCGGGUUACCGAAUUCAGACAAACUCCGAAUGCCGAUGAUUUAUGUUUGGGAGUCAGACUGCGGGUGAUAAGAUCCGUAGUCGAGAGGGAAACAGCCCAGACCGCCAGUUAAGGUCCCCAAGUAUCCGUUAAGUGGAAAAGGAUGUGGCGCUGCCCAGACAACCAGGAUGUUGGCUUAGAAGCAGCCACCAUUUAAAGAGUGCGUAAUAGCUCACUGGUCGAGUGGCGCUGCGCCGAAAAUGUACCGGGGCUAAACGGAUCACCGAAACUGCGGAUUGACACCUAUGGUGUCAGUGGUAGGAGAGCGUUCCAAGGGCGUCGAAGCCAGAUCGUAAGGACUGGUGGAGCGCUUGGAAGUGAGAAUGCCGGUAUGAGUAGCGAAAGAAGGGUGAGAAUCCCUUCCACCGAAUGCCUAAGGUUUCCUGAGGAAGGCUCGUCCGCUCAGGGUUAGUCGGGACCUAAGUCGAGGCCGAAAGGCGUAGACGAUGGAGAACAGGUUGAUAUUCCUGUACCACCUCCCCGCCGUUAUCAGCAAUGGGGGGACGCAGAAGGAUAGGGUGAGCGCGCUGUUGGUCAUGCGCGUCUAAGCAGUGAGGUGUGGAACGAGGCAAAUCCCGUUCCUAUAACAUUGAGCUGUGAUGGCAAGGGGAAUUAUCCCCGGAGUCCCUGAUUUCACACUGCCAAGAAAAGCCUCUAGCGAGGCGGGAGGUGCCCGUACCGCAAACCGACACAGGUAGGCGAGGAGAGAAUCCUAAGGUGAUCGAGAGAACUCUCGUUAAGGAACUCGGCAAAAUGACCCCGUAACUUCGGGAGAAGGGGUGCUCUGGUAGGGUGUUAAAGCCCGAGAGAGCCGCAGUGAAUAGGCCCAGGCGACUGUUUAGCAAAAACACAGGUCUCUGCAAAACCGUAAGGUGACGUAUAGGGGCUGACGCCUGCCCGGUGCUGGAAGGUUAAGAGGAGAGGUCAGCGCAAGCGAAGCUUUGAAUUGAAGCCCCAGUAAACGGCGGCCGUAACUAUAACGGUCCUAAGGUAGCGAAAUUCCUUGUCGGGUAAGUUCCGACCCGCACGAAAGGCGUAACGAUCUGGGCACUGUCUCAACGAGAGACUCGGUGAAAUUAUAAUAUGCGUGAAGAUGCGCAUUACCCGCGACAGGACGGAAAGACCCCGUGGAGCUUUACUGUAGCCUGAUAUUGAAUUCCGGUGCAGCCUGUACAGGAUAGGUAGGAGCCUUGGAAUCCGGAGCGCCAGCUUCGGAGGAGGCAAUGGUGGGAUACUACCCUGGCUGUAUUGGACUUCUAACCCUUGCCCGUGAUCCGGGCAGGAGACAGUGUCAGGUGGGCAGUUUGACUGGGGCGGUCGCCUCCUAAAGUGUAACGGAGGCGCCCAAAGGUUCCCUCAGAAUGGUUGGACAUCAUUCGUAGAGUGCAAAGGCAUAAGGGAGCUUGACUGCGAGACCUACAAGUCGAGCAGGGUCGAAAGACGGGCUUAGUGAUCCGGUGGUUCCGCAUGGAAGGGCCAUCGCUCAACGGAUAAAAGCUACCCCGGGGAUAACAGGCUUAUCUCCCCCAAGAGUCCACAUCGACGGGGAGGUUUGGCACCUCGAUGUCGGCUCAUCGCAUCCUGGGGCUGUAGUCGGUCCCAAGGGUUGGGCUGUUCGCCCAUUAAAGCGGUACGCGAGCUGGGUUCAGAACGUCGUGAGACAGUUCGGUCCCUAUCCGUCGCGGGCGCAGGAAAUUUGAGAGGAGCUGUCCUUAGUACGAGAGGACCGGGAUGGACACACCGCUGGUGUACCAGUUGUCUUGCCAAAGGCAUCGCUGGGUAGCUAUGUGUGGACGGGAUAAAUGCUGAAAGCAUCUAAGCAUGAAGCCCCCCUCAAGAUGAGAUUUCCCAUUACAUUUGUAAGUAAGAUCCCUCAAAGAUGAUGAGGUGGAUAGGUCCGGGGUGGAAGCGUGGCGACACGUGCAGCUGACGGAUACUAAUCGAUCGAGGACUUAACCU
rnacentral:rRNA from 1 species